rnacentral:rRNA from 1 species
AUGGGGACGCAGGCAGCGGAGAACUUCGAACCGCCGGCCAAGGAUGUCAGGACGGAUGAGCAGAAGAAGAUUGACGACUGGCUCCCGAUCACGUCGUCGAGGAACGCCAAGUGGUGGUACUCGGCCUUCCACAAUGUCACCGCCAUGGUCGGCGCGGGGGUGCUCAGCCUCCCCUACGCCAUGUCCGAGCUCGGCUGGGGCCCUGGCAUCGCGGUGCUGGUCAUCUCGUGGGUGAUCACGCUCUACACGCUGUGGCAGAUGGUGGAGAUGCACGAGAUGGUGCCCGGGAAGCGGUUCGACAGGUACCACGAGCUCGGGCAGCACGCCUUCGGCGACAAGCUGGGGCUGUGGAUCGUGGUGCCGCAGCAGCUGAUCGUGGAGGUUGGCGUGAACAUCGUGUACAUGGUGACCGGCGGGAGGUCGCUCAAGAAGUUCCACGACGUGAUCUGCGACGGCAAGUGCAAGGACAUCAAGCUCACCUUCUUCAUCAUGAUCUUCGCGUCCGUGCACUUCGUGCUCUCGCAGCUCCCAAACUUGAACUCCAUCUCCGGCGUGUCCCUGGCCGCCGCCGUCAUGUCGCUGUCCUACUCGACCAUCGCGUGGGGCGCGUCGGUGGACAAGGGGAAGAUGGUGGACGUGGACUACAACCUCCGCGCCACCACGACGCCGGGGAAGGUGUUCGGCUUCUUCGGGGCGCUGGGCGAGGUGGCGUUCGCGUACGCCGGCCACAACGUGGUGCUGGAGAUCCAGGCCACCAUCCCGUCCACGCCGGAGAAGCCGUCCAAGAAGCCCAUGUGGAAGGGCGUGGUGGUGGCCUACAUCGUCGUCGCGCUCUGCUACUUCCCCGUCGCCCUCAUCGGCUACUGGGCCUUCGGCAACAGCGUCGACGACAACAUCCUCAUCACCCUCAACAAGCCCACCUGGCUCAUCUCCACCGCCAACAUGAUGGUUGUCAUCCAUGUCAUCGGAAGCUACCAGAUUUACGCGAUGCCGGUGUUCGACAUGAUCGAGACGGUGCUAGUGAAGAAGCUCAAGUUCCCUCCCGGCCUCACGCUCCGCUUGAUUGCCCGGACCCUCUAUGUUGCGUUCACCAUGUUCGUCGCCAUCACCUUCCCUUUCUUCGGUGGCCUGCUCGGAUUCUUCGGCGGGUUCGCCUUUGCGCCCACGACAUACUUCCUGCCCUGCAUCAUGUGGCUCGCCAUCUACAAGCCCAAAAGAUUCAGCCUCUCAUGGUUCACCAACUGGGUCUGCAUCGUCCUUGGAGUGUGCCUCAUGAUCCUGUCGCCAAUCGGAGGGCUCAGACAGAUCAUCUUGGAUUCCAAGACAUACAAAUUCUACUCAUAG